rnacentral:lncRNA from 1 species
GCACUCCGUAUAAGAGAACGCGUGUUGAAAUUUGUCCAUUUUUGUCUUUUCCCCUUCAGAAAACUUCCUUUAUAUUCUAAUUAUGUUUGCGUUAAUGGUAGAGCAUUACUUCAAGUUCUACUCUUCAAAAGCUUUGCUUUUAACAGGAAUUCCUGUGUAACAAUCUCUCGAACCACCAAAGCCUCUUGGAGCCAGAAAGAAAUGCACAUCUAAGUAUCAACAAUAGCUUCUGACCAUUGGAAUCAUCAGCACACAGGUAAUGAAAAUUCACCUAGGACUUUCAAAU